GACGAACCGUGCGAACGUUAUUCGGAUUCACUGGGCUUAAAGCGCGUGUAGGCGGGCCGGCACGUCGGAUGCUGAAAGCCCCCGGCUCAACCGGGGAACGGGCACCGAUACGACCGGCCUGGAGGGGGGUAGGGGGAGCCGGAACUUCCGGUGGAGCGGUGAAAUGCGUUGAGAUCGGAAGGAACGCCCGUGGCGAAAGCGGGCUCCUGGACCCCACCUGACGCUGAGACGCGAAAGCCAGGGGAGCAAACGGG
rnacentral:rRNA from 1 species